rnacentral:rRNA from 1 species
UUCCGGUUGAUCCUGCCGGACCCUACUGCUAUCGGGGUGGGACUAAGACAUGCGAGUUGAGCGUCUCUAAGCCAUGGUAGAGACGCGGCGUACGGCUCAGUAACACGUGGCUAACCUACCCUUAGGACGGGGACAACCCCGGGAAACUGGGGCUAAUACCCGAUAGGCGAGGAGGCCUGGAAUGGUUCUUAGUCGAAAAGGCGUUGAAACCAUGCUUUUCGACGUUGCCUAAGGAUGGGGCCGCGCCCGAUCAGGUUGUUGGUGGGGUAACGGCUCACCAAGCCUAUAACCGGUACGGGCCGUGAGAGCGGGAGCCCGGAGAUGGGCACUGAGACAAGGGCCCAGGCCCUACGGGGCGCAGCAGUCGCGAAAACUCCGCAAUGCGCGAAAGCGUGACGGGGCUACCCCGAGUGCCGUCCGCUGAGGAUGGCUUUUCCCCGGUGUAAUGAGCCGGGGGAAUAAGGAGAGGGCAAGUCUGGUGUCAGCCGCCGCGGUAAUACCAGCUCUCCGAGUGGUAGGGAUGAUUAUUGGGCUUAAAGCGUCCGUAGCCGGCUUAGCAAGUCUCCUGUUAAAUUCAGCGACCUAAUCGUUGAGCCGCGGGAGAUACUACUAGGCUAGGAGGCGGGAGAGGCCGACGGUAUUCUCGGGGUAGGGGUGAAAUCCUAUAAUCCCGGGAGGACCACCAGUGGCGAAGGCUGUCGGCUAGAACGCGCUCGACGGUGAGGGACGAAAGCUGGGGGAGCGAACCGGAUUAGAUACCCGGGUAGUCCCAGCUGUAAACGAUGCGGGCUAGGUGUUGGGGUGGCUACGAGCCACCUCAGUGCCGCAGGGAAGCCAUUAAGCCCGCCGCCUGGGGAGUACGGCCGCAAGGCUGAAACUUAAAGGAAUUGGCGGGGGAGCACCACAAGGCGUGAAGCUUGCGGUUCAAU